CCUACGGGGGGCAGCAGUGAGGAAUAUUGGUCAAUGGCCGGGAGGCUGAACCAGCCAAGUCGCGUGAGGGAAGACGGCCCUACGGGUUGUAAACCUCUUUUGUCAGGGAGCAAGGUGCAGGGCGGGACCGGCUGUGAGAGUACCGGAAGAAAAAGCAUCGGCUAACGCCGUGCCAGCAGCCGCGGUAAUACGGAGGAUGCGAGCGUUAUCCGGAUUUAUUGGGGUGAAAGGGUGCGCAGGCGGAGGCACAAGUCAGCGGUAAAAUCGCGGGGCUCAACCCCGCUCCGCCGGUGAAACUGUGUCCCUUGAGUGCGCGACGGGUAGGCGGCAUGCGUUUUGUAGCGGU
rnacentral:rRNA from 1 species